GAUGAACGCUGGCGGCGUGCUUAAUACAUGCAAGUCGAACGGAGACAGUAGCAAUAUUGUCUUAGUGGCGAACGGGUGAGUAACGCGUUGGUGACCUGCCCCGAAGAGGGGGAUAACAGUCCGAAAGGAUUGCUAAUACCCCAUGUGGUCAUUUGGAUUAGAUGCCUUAUGACUAAACGGAUUUAUUCGCUUCGGGAGGGGCCUGCGUCCCAUCAGCUAGUUGGUAAGGUAAUGGCUUACCAAGGCGAUGACGGGUAGGGGACCUGAGAGGGGGGCCCCCCACAAUGGAACUGAAACACGGUCCAUACACCUACGGGUGGCAGCAGUAGGGAAUAUUGGUAAUGGGCGAAAGCCCGAACCAGCAACGCCGCGUGCGCGAUGAAGGCCUUCGGGUUGUAAAGCGCUUUUUAAGGGGAUGAGGAAGGACUGUACUCUUAGAAUAAGCCUCGGCUAACUACGUGCCAGCCGCCGCAGUAAAAC
rnacentral:rRNA from 1 species